UGGUUCUGAAACCGUAUCACGCCAUUUUUCUUAUAUCUUUCAAUUAUUGCUUUUUCACGUGUAUUUUCAAUGAAGGCAAAAUUUAAUUUGAUGUCAUAAACUCGUAUUUCUCUCUUCACAAUCUUCUAAAGAGCCAUUAAGAGAAUUUGACCUUCAUUUUCGUUUAGUGUUCGUUGAUUCAAUUGUACGCUUGUAAUUAAAGUUCCUAAUAUUUAUUUUGAACGUGGAAAUUUUAACAUGAAGUUAACUCGAUGGAUUAAACUGAAAUAUUUAAUGAAAAGUUUAUUGCGGUGGACAGAUUCUAAUAGCGGCUGUUCUAGUGGCAGAUCUUACUGUGCUCUGUAAUAAACUCUGUAGUAAACAUUGUAACAUUUUUAUUACAGAUAUUCUAAUUAUUUGAGUUGUAUUCUAAACUUCACUUAUGAAUUUGGAAAUAUAAACUUGCAAUUUGUUAAUGUUAAUUUUCAAUCAAUUAAAUUUUCAUACGAAAGUAUUUUAUCUGGAGGGAUUGAUUAACAACAGAAGGUAACAUCGAACAGUCAUGGAACAUUUAACAAGCUUUACCUACCGAAUGGCUCACCUGUAAGUGUAUCCUUCCGCGCCCACUCGUGCCUGCGGGCUCUUACGAGCCUGUGGACUUCUUCCAGCUCGUGGGCUUCUACGGUCCGCGGAGGACUUCCGGCCUGAACCACCGCCUGCGUUGCGCCUCUUCGCGUGAGCACCACCGGUGAACAUCAUUUUCCUAUUCACCUACUUACUCUCUUUACCUUCUGUCCACACUAAUUCUUUUGUCAUUGAUGACAAUUCAUUCAAAUGCUUCAACGUCGAAAAAUAACGCUGGUAAUAUGCUAAACGUUCGCGAAUCAGUACCUGAAUCACCGCGUGCCCGAUCGUCGAUGCUAUCUUUUUAGUUUCCCGCCUCGUGACGCUCGAAUUCCGGGCCACUUGGCCGCGUAAUGCCAGAAGAAUUCUCGUCCAUCGGCCAGCAACAUUUUCCUUUCUGUCCGCCACGAACAAGGCAUCGGUCACUUCCAAUCGAUUAAAACUUACUGGCUUUACCUUCGCGAAGAAGCAGCGGGCAAAACACGUCACAUUGUUAGUGAAAUUAUAAUAGACUGUUCUCGACUAAAGAAAUGGGUCAUCGGAGGAAUUGUGACCUUGAUGAGUCAAGUCAACAAGAAACGAAGUAUAACCAUUAAAUCUUCUGAAUCUCGAUCAUCUCCUUUAUCGAGGAUUACACUGGACUCCUUAAUUGGUCAUUUUAAUUGUAUCAACGAUAUCGUUACUCGCCUGAAUAAGUUCUGACAAUUGAUUGACUUUUUCAGAUUCGAUGUCACCUUCAGCACUGUUCACUUACCACUGAUUUCAACGUUUUUAACCUUUGUGCACCAAUUAAUAAUAAUAAUAAGGGCUACGAUUAUAAUUAAAAAGGUAUGGCUUCCAAGCGAGAAGGAAAAUCUCUGAGGUUGUCACAGAAAUUUUUAAAGGAAAAGGUUAGAAGACACCGAGUCUCCUCUUCAGUCUCACUCUUCCCACCCUUGCGAAGAUCACACGUUUUUGAUCAAAUGGAUGUAUGACUAAUACUCGAGAAAGAAAACGUUACGUGGACUAUGGAAGUGGAAGAUGUCUGUUCUUUCCAAUUUUCUCUUCUUUGGUCCAACGUCCUGAUGUGAUACAUCGUUUCAACAGGAAUGUGUCGCGACCAAAAGUAGUAUUAACGAUAUUCAAACGUCAGCUACACGGUUUGAUUGACUCCACACGAUAUUUGAAUGCUGUACUUUAGUAAGUCUCUUUCGUUUUCUGAAAAUAACGACUACUGACUGCUGUAAUUUAUGGAAUACAUACGAUCAAAUUGAAAACUAUGGAUCAUCGCGUGGAUGUUGACGAACAUCGGAACUGGAUUUUGACGCCUAAAACGUUGUGUAGCUUUGCACGAAACUCUCGAAUCUAUAAAUAUCAGCCUGUUGAAUACCGCCCGCCAUCGAGUCGAGUAGCGCCGCGCACGGGAAAUAUUAGAAUGCGCUAUCCGGCGCGUUUUCCAGCCUGGAAAAGCGAAUGGAUUUCAGAAAAAUUUCUCGACAGGUUAAAAAAAAUAGAUUCGUGUAAUAGAUAAGGAAUAACUUGUACAUUUCAGACAAGCUUGACUUUGGUUGCUUUUUUUUUAAUAAAUUUGAAUAGUAUAAAAAAAGAAACACAUACUAACGAGUGAUUUUUUUAUGCAAACGAAUGUAUUUGUUCGAUGUGUAAUUAACAGAUGUGUACAAUGAGUUUGUUUUCUUACAUAUCAAGUACAGGAAAACAAUAGCAAUUACUCAUUAUUUGUAUCGUGAAUAGAAUUUUUUCUACGUUAAUUAAUAUCUUUGCUGUUCCAUUGCUGCACAUUGCGUCAAAGAGCAAUUUUGUGACUGAUUCCCCUCAUUCUUCCUCGUGGAACAAACGAGCGAUUGUCGUGUAGAUAAAUAUCGUUAAGCAGAAAAUUAAAGAGAAGCCGUUUUAUACACAGCCUUUGAAAUACCGCGAGGAAAUUGUCCGACUUUCUUGGGUACUAUAUACAGUUAAAGUAAAGUACAAAUAGUUACAGAUUCGAUCAUGGAACAUUCUGAACAUUUUGUGCUCGCGAUAGAACCUUAUGUAAUAUAUGUUUCAAACAGACUCAGAACAUAUUUUCUCGUCGACGAACAUAUCCAGAGCUGUUAUUUUCGCUCACGACGGAACUACAUCUUAAAUAAUGAAACUAAUCUUAAUUUUCUUAAAAGGUACAAUAUUUAUAUAUUUAUAUUUAUGUAUAGCGGACAAGGAAUAGAGAAUCCUAAAUCGAUACGAACAUCGCUACAAUAAAAAUCCAAAUGAUUCUUAUAAAGAGACUGCUCACUGGAAACUAAAAACGCUGUUCUUCUUCAAAGCGUACAACAAGGUUUCGUGACUGAUUUGUGUGUGUAUAUGUGUAUAUGUGUGUUCGUAUUAUACUAUUAUCAAAACUCCCUAGCCAGUGGUUUUCUCGGUUCCUUUUAAAAAACGCUGUUUGAAA